CCUACGGGAGGCAGCAGUGAGGAAUAUUGGUCAAUGGACGGAAGUCUGAACCAGCCAUGCCGCGUGCAGGAAGACGGCUCUAUGAGUUGUAAACUGCUUUUGUACAAGGGUAAACCUGAAUACGUGUAUUCUGCUGAAAGUACUGUACGAAUAAGGAUCGGCUAACUCCGUGCCAGCAGCCGCGGUAAUACGGCGGAUCCAAGCGUUAUCCGGAUUUAUUGGGUUUAAAGGGUGCGUAGGCGGAUUGAUAAGUUAGAGGUGAAAUGUCCGAGCUUAACUCGGGAACUGCCUCUAAUACUGUUGAUCUAGAGAGUAGAUGCGGUAGGCGGAAUGUAUGGUGUAGCGGUGAAAUGCUUAGAGAUCAUACAGAACACCGAUUGCGAAGGCAGCUUACCAAUCUAUAUCUGACGUUGAGGCACGAAAGCGUGGGGAGCAAACAGGAUUAGAUACCCCUGUAGUC
rnacentral:rRNA from 1 species